CUACGGGAGGCAGCAGUGGGGAAUCUUGCACAAUGGAGGAAACUCUGAUGCAGCGAUGCCGCGUGAGUGAAGAAGGCCCUUGGGUUGUAAAGCUCUUUCGUCGGGGAAGAAAAUGACUGUACCCGAAUAAGAAGGUCCGGCUAACUUCGUGCCAGCAGCCGUGGUAAUACGAAGGGACCUAGCGUAGUUCGGAAUUACUGGGCUUAAAGAGUUCGUAGGUGGUUGAAAAAGUUGGUGGUGAAAUCCCAGAGCUUAACUCUGGAACUGCCAUCAAAACUUUUCAGCUAGAGUAUGAUAGAGGAAAGCAGAAUUUCUAGUGUAGAGGUGAAAUUCGUAGAUAUUAGAAAGAAUACCAAUUGCGAAGGCAGCUUUCUGGAUCAUUACUGACACUGAGGAACGAAAGCAUGGGUAGCGAAGAGGAUUAGAUACCCUCGUAGUCCAUGCCGUAAACGAUGUGUGUUAGACGUUGGAAAUUUAUUUUCAGUGUCGCAGCGAAAGCGAUAAACACACCGCCUGGGGAGUACGACCGCAAGGUUAAAACUCAAAGGAAUUGACGGA
rnacentral:rRNA from 1 species